GCUUUAAAGAAUUCAGAAGUGGCCCACAGUUUGAAACAGCUAUGCUUCUGAUUAUAUGAUCCCAGGAUGGAUCGCAGAUAUUGAAAAAUCAGGUCCACUGCUACACCCAGAUCGACUGACUUUACAAAAGCUCAUACUACCAGCUUCUUUCUGUCAUUUAGUUUCAAAGAAUAUCUAAUUGCUGCAAUAACUACACAGCCCAAGGAACACUGCCAUGGGAUCUCUCCACACAAGUCAGAAAAGCAAGAGGAGACAAUACAUCACCACACAGGAUAAAGCAGCAAGGCAAGGCAGCUAUCAGGAUGAGGCUAUCAUCAGCUUCCUCAGUGGGAUGAAAGUAAUGUUGAAACGAGCCCUACAAUUAGAACUAUGAACAAAAGAGAGUUUGAAAAAGAUAAAACAAUCCUCAUGCUUAGAUGUUGAUCUGUGAUGCUUCUUUUCUCUUUGUGGAUCCCUGUAUUUGCAAUCUAUACCUCAACAAGCAAACAAUCCACUGGGUAAAGAAAAAAAAAAGGGUCUCAGGAAUGAAGUGAACCUCCUUCUGAUUUAAAUAUGCACACCAUGCUUUGGCUACAUAAAAUUAUUUCCAAAGAGCAAAAGGAGCAAUUUAUACUUGUCUUAUUAGGGUACCAGUCCAAAUUCAGCAUUGGUAGUAUGAUUACUGAAUAACAGUAUGGAGUGGGAAUCAAGGGACCUCCUGCCGCCCUUCUUGCCACCCAGGAAAAUCCAGUUAAUUCUAAUCCAUGUUCUUAAUUGUAGUCUUCCUUUAAACAUCACUAGUUUGAUUAAAUUAACUAAAUCAGAUUACAAGCAUCUCCUGGCCUAGUUCAUUUCACUCCUAAAUAAACCUCUGAUAAAGAGGCCUUACAGUAUUAUCUCCACCCUACCCCAUCCCCAUCUUUUAUAUGCCAGGUAAGUGUUUGUUCCAUUUGCAUUAUUUCAAAACGUAUUAAACACA